rnacentral:rRNA from 1 species
UAGGGAAUCUUCGGCAAUGGACGAAAGUCUGACCGAGCAACGCCGCGUGAGUGAAGAAGGUUUUCGGAUCGUAAAACUAUGUUGUUAGAGAAGAACAAGGACGUUAGUAACUGAACGUCCCCUGACGGUAUCUAACCAGAAAGCCACGGCUAACUACGUGCCAGCAGCCGCGGUAAUACGUAGGUGGCAAGCGUUGUCCGGAUUUAUUGGUCGUAAAGCGAGCGCAGGCGGUUUCUUAAGUCUGAUGUGAAAGCCCCCGGCUCAACCGGGGAGGGUCAUUGGAAACUGGGAGACUUGAGUGCAGAAGAGGAGAGUGGAAUUCCAUGUGUAGCGGUGAAAUGCGUAGAUAUAUGGAGGAACACCAGUGGCGAAGGCGGCUCUCUGGUCUGUAACUGACGCUGAGGCUCGAAAGCGUGGGGAGCAAACAGG